UUCUCCAAUCUAGAUUCAAUAAUGCAAUCUUGAAAUUAUUUUGGCUAUUUGGCUUUUUAUAUGCUCCCUUAUACUAACUCAUACUACUUUUACUUGAUAGUUUUUAAAGGUCAAUGUACCAUUAAAAUUAGAACGCUUUUCCUUAAAAUACAUAUUCAUACACUUACUCAAGGGAAGCAAUUUGUGUUUUUCUCAUUGGAGAAUAUUAUUCAUUUUGAAACAAGGUGUGGGUAUAUCGAGAAAACUUAAAAUAAAAGAGUUCACUUUCAUGUACAAGAAACAACCAACUGAGAGGAGACAAUAAAAUUUUUAUGCCAUGCUUUAUUUCAUUAAAAACAAGCUACUUAACCAUGCCUUUCACAAGAAAACAAAAACAAAAGAAUAAAGUUCAAGGGAG
rnacentral:lncRNA from 1 species